AAGUCGUAACAAGGUUUCCGUAGGUGAACCUGCGGAAGGAUCAUUAACAAUCCGGGUGAGUGGGGCGUUGGUUCCACUCAAGACAAGUUGAAAUGUGGGGUCCAUCUAUGGACACUAACCAUCACACAAUCAUACUAUAUCUAUCUACACACAAAGCGACAACUCGCAGCAACGGAUCUCUAGGCUCUU
rnacentral:misc_RNA from 1 species